CAGGGAGACAACAAAAUGUUUAAUAUUAUUAUUUUGUCACCUUAGGUCGAUCGGUAUCUCACGUUUUUAAUUCAUUAAGAAUUUCAUUUCCUAAGUUUUUCUAGGUCACACCCAUUAUUUUUCCUGGGCCAUUAGCUCAGGUGGUUAGAGCGCACCCCUGAUAAGGGUGAGGUCCCUGGUUCAAGUCCAGGAUGGCCCAUAUCUCUAUGUUGGGGGUAUAGCUCAGUUGGUAGAGCGCCUGCUUUGCAAGCAGGAUGUCAGCGGUUCGAGUCCGCUUACCUCCACUGAUCACCACCUCUUCCAUAAUUGGUAGAAAGGAAAAUGUUUUGAGUUGUGAUCAAAUUCUGAACGAAUCUAGCUUCCUAAUUCAAUCAUUAAGAUGCUGGACUCAUUGAUUAAUUUCAUUGUUUUCAGAGAACCUUGACAACUGCAUAGAUUUUUUUAAAGACAAUAAGCAUCUUUAAUGAUGCAGAUUUAUUAUUUGUGCGAAUGCAUUAAUAACAAUUCUAUUAAGCUGAUGCUUCAA
rnacentral:tRNA from 1 species